CUCAGAAUAGAGAAGCAGCUAGAAAAAGCAGGUUGAGAAAAAAGGCAUAUAUUCAGCAGCUUGAGUCAAGCAGAAUCAGGCUUAGUCAGAUGGAACAAGAGUUACAACGUGCUAGAAAUCAAGGCAUGUUCUUUGGUGGAGGUGCAGUCAUGGGAGGAGAGCAAAACAUUCCUAUCUCAAUGAACAUCAUUACCUCAGACAUCUGGAGAAUUAUCUGCAGCCUCACCAGAGAGGUUGUCAAUGGCAUCUCAUGGAAAUGUUCGUGGGUAUGAUUUCACUCUGGGAUGUUGACUCUGGUCUGGCACAACUUCGCAAGUGCUUUCCCAUGAAAGAUGUGUAUGGCAUGAAAUAAAUAAAUGAUUUUUUUGGUGGAUAUGCAGUAUAAAAGUCUCUUAGAACCUGAAUGUUUAUCAUCAUUGACACUUUCGACGCUUUCCGAACUGCCCAACAAGUGGUAUCAGAGUCAUGGUUAGACUCGUCAAAACCGCGAAAACAAUUGCUUCUCCAGGGCGUGGUAUUUUGGCCAUGGAUGAAUUCAAUGCUACAUGUGGAAAGCGGUUGGAUUCAAUUGGACUAGAGAACACCGAAGCUAACCGUCAAGCAUGGCGUAAAAUUAUAUAUGGAGAAAGUGUUAUGACUUAGUUAAAAUAUAAUUUUUAUGUGUAUGAUUUUAUAAUACUUGAAAUAUUAUGACUGUACAUGAUUUUGUAUACUUUUUGGUUAAUAUUAAAAAUAUUUUGACUUAGUUAAAA